UACGGAGGGGGCAAGCGUUAUUCGGAAUUAUUGGGCGUAAAGGGUGCGUAGGCGGCUUGUCAAGUAGGGUGUGAAAGCCCCCGGCUUAACCGGGGAAUUGCGCCCUAAACUGACGAGCUGGAGUGGGACAGGGGUGUGUGGAACUUCCGGUGGAGCGGUGAAAUGUGUUGAUAUCGGAAGGAACGCCGGUGGCGAAAGCGACACACUGGGUCUCAACUGACGCUGAGGCACGAAAGCCAGGGGAGCGAACGGG
rnacentral:rRNA from 1 species